CCUACGGGCGGCUGCAGUGGGGAAUAUUGGACAAUGGGGGCAACCCUGAUCCAGCCAUGCCGCGUGUGUGAAGAAGGCCCUCGGGUUGUAAAGCACUUUCAGUGAGGAAGAACGCCUGGUGGUUAAUACCCAUCAGGAAAGACAUCACUCACAGAAGAAGCACCGGCUAACUCCGUGCCAGCAGCCGCGGUAAUACGGAGGGUGCGAGCGUUAAUCGGAAUUACUGGGCGUAAAGUGCGCGUAGGUGGCUUGAUAAGCCGGUUGUGAAAGCCCCGGGCUCAACCUGGGAACGGCAUCCGGAACUGUCGAGCUAGAGUGCAGGAGAGGAAGGUAGAAUUCCCGGUGUAGCGGUGAAAUGCGUAGAGAUCGGGAGGAAUACCAGUGGCGAAGGCGGCCUUCUGGACUGACACUGACACUGAGGUGCGAAAGCGUGGGUAGCAAACAGGAUUAGAUACCCCAGUAGUC
rnacentral:rRNA from 1 species